rfam:Cavia porcellus supercont2_1 genomic scaffold, whole genome shotgun sequence.
GGGUAUUUAGCUCAGCGGCACAAGCACCUGCCUUGCAAGCAGGAGGUCGUGAGUUCGAUCUCCGGUACCGA